AGUUAUAUAGUUUAAACAAAACAUUAAUUUUGUAAAUUAAAAUUAAAUAUAAAAUUUUAUAACUU
rnacentral:tRNA from 1 species